UAAAAACGUUGCCACGGGCCUGGCAUAGCCUUUGAGAUUUGUAACUGACGCGUAGCAUUAUUAUUUUAUCAAUAUUUGGAACACUGAAGUGCUAUAUAAACCAAUGUAGGCUGCAAUUUCAAUUGUGUUGUCAUGUGUGAGCAAAAAUAUUGAAGCGACAACUGGAAAAUUAUUUUACAACCCUUUAGCAGAGAUCGGCUUCAUCUCGCGAUGCUGCAUCACUGGUCUUUCUGCCUGCGCUAGGUAUUACCGGGUUCACCUCGACCACCUUGAAACGUUCUUCGCCGCCGCCUGCCCUGCGGGGUGCGUAUUUUUUGUCAACUGCGUGAACGCAAGGACUGAAGAUGAACGGCGCUCUACGAAAGGCCACCAGCGUUUUUCGAAGCGCUGCAAUGCAGACCCGUUCGACGUCGGUGAAUUCAUACUCGGUCUCGCUGCCGAAAGGCUUCAAGAUGUCGGCCCCCGAAAAGGCGGUUCACAUCGCUGUGAUCGUAUCCACCAUUUUCGCUUACCCAGUUUGGGUCCUUACUCACCUCAGGGAGUACAGAGGAAUCAAGGAUUAGCUUGUACUCACGAAGACCUGCACCAUGCUGGUGUCCACCGGAAACCUGGGCACAAGUCACCACACGAACCAUUAGCUAACAGAACACAAUAAAAUGUGUUUGAGUACACACGCA